AUUGAACGCUGGCGGCAGGCCUAACACAUGCAAGUCGAGCGAGCGGCGGACGGGUGAGUAAUGUAUGGGGACUGCCCGAUAGAGGGGGAUAACUACUGGAAACGGUGGCUAAUACCGCAUACUAUCGGAUAACCCAUAUGGGAUUAGCUAGUAGGUGGGGUAAAGGCUCACCUAGGCGACGAUCUCUAGCUGGCCUGAGAGGAUGACCAACCACACUAGGACUGAGAAACGGCAGAGAUUCCUACGGAGGCAGCAGUGGGGAAUAUUGCGGAAUGGGAGCAAGCCUGAUGCAGCCAUGCCGCGUAUAUAAAGAAGGCCUUAGGUGUGUAAAAUACUUUCAGCGGGGAGGCGUUACCCGCACAAGAAGCACCGGCUAACUCCGUGCCAGCCGCCGCGGUUAUAC
rnacentral:rRNA from 1 species